rnacentral:rRNA from 1 species
UCUGGUUGAUCCUGCCAGAGGUUACUGCUAUCGGUGUUCGCCUAAGCCAUGCGAGUCAUAUGUUCUUCGUGAACAUGGCGUACUGCUCAGUAACACGUGGAUAACCUGCCCUUGGGUCCAGCAUAACCCCGGGAAACUGGGGAUAAUUCCGGAUAACGCAUAUAUGCUGGAAUGCUUUCUGCGUAAAAUGGAUUCGUCUGCCCAAGGAUGGGUCUGCGGCCUAUCAGGUAGUAGUGGGUGUAAUGUACCUACUAGCCGACGACGGGUACGGGUUGUGAGAGCAAGAGCCCGGAGAUGGAUUCUGAGACAUGAAUCCAGGCCCUACGGGGCGCAGCAGGCGCGAAAACUUUACAAUGCGGGAAACCGUGAUAAGGGGACACCGAGUGCCAGCAUCAUAUGCUGGCUGUCCGGGUGUGUAAAAUACACCCGUUAGCAAGGGCCGGGCAAGACCGGUGCCAGCCGCCGCGGUAACACCGGCGGCCCGAGUGGUGAUCGUGAUUAUUGGGUCUAAAGGGUCCGUAGCCGGUUUGGUCAGUCCUCCGGGAAAUCUGAUAGCUCAACUAUUAGGCUUUCGGGGGAUACUGCCAGGCUUGGAACCGGGAGAGGUAAGAGGUACUACAGGGGUAGGAGUGAAAUCUUGUAAUCCCUGUGGGACCACCUGUGGCGAAGGCGUCUUACCAGAACGGGUUCGACGGUGAGGGACGAAAGCUGGGGGCACGAACCGGAUUAGAUACCCGGGUAGUCCCAGCCGUAAACGAUGCUCGCUAGGUGUCAGGCAUGGCGCGACCGUGUCUGGUGCCGCAGGGAAGCCGUGAAGCGGAGCCACCUGGGAAGUACGGCCGCAAGGCUGAAACUUAAAGGAAUUGGCGGG